AGAAGGGAGCGUGCGGAGAAGUCAGCAGCCGCGUUCUCGCUGUAGAAUUCGGAACCGGCUUGGCUCGCUCAAAGGACACAACGUAUGGAUGCCUUGCCUUAAAGCUGCGCACUGCACGCAACAAGAGGAACGCAGCGGGGGGCCACCCGCGCCGCGCCCCACUUGGAGCUUCCGCCCAAGCGCAAGGCACAGCGGACGGCGCACGCCGACAGAGCCGCGCGCUUGAAGACGGACCCGAGAGCCUACGCCUUAUGGAACUCCCGUCCUCUAGCAGCCAACCAGAGGCAAUCGGGCUUCAGCCGCAAUUAGCGAGAAGGAUUUUGCUGACGGCGGCAGCGGAGCUCUGCAACACUGGAAGCCCGCGCCGCAAGAGCACGCCGCAGCCGCAGGCGCUCCUAC
rnacentral:misc_RNA from 1 species